rnacentral:rRNA from 1 species
GAUGAACGCUGGCGGCGUGCCUAAUACAUGCAAGUCGAGCGAACAGACGAGGAGCUUGCUCCUCUGACGUUAGCGGCGGACGGGUGAGUAACACGUGGAUAACCUACCUAUAAGACUGGGAUAACUUCGGGAAACCGGAGCUAAUACCGGAUAAUAUAUUGAACCGCAUGGUUCAAUAGUGAAAUACGGUUUUGCUGUCACUUAUAGAUGGAUCCGCGCCGCAUUAGCUAGUUGGUAAGGUAACGGCUUACCAAGGCGACGAUGCGUAGCCGACCUGAGAGGGUGAUCGGCCACACUGGAACUGAGACACGGUCCAGACUCCUACGGGAGGCAGCAGUAGGGAAUCUUCCGCAAUGGGCGAAAGCCUGACGGAGCAACGCCGCGUGAGUGAUGAAGGUCUUCGGAUCGUAAAACUCUGUUAUUAGGGAAGAAAAAAUGUGUAAGUAACUAUGCACGUCUUGACGGUACCUAAUCAGAAAGCAACGGCUAACUACGUG